rnacentral:rRNA from 1 species
AAGCGCUUAUGACCAGACUUGGGCUUGGUUGAUCAUCCAGUGUUCUCACUGGUGCACUCUUCCGGCUCAGGCCAGCAUCAGUUUGCUUCGGGGGAUAAAGGCUUUGGGAAUGUGGCUCCCUCGGGAGUGUUAUAGCCCAUUG